GACGAACGCUGGCGGCGUGCCUAACACAUGCAAGUCGAACGGGGUAAUUUCUUCGGAGAUUACUUAGUGGCGAACGGGUGAGUAACGCGUGAGAAACCUGCCUUUCAGUGGGGGACAACAGUUGGAAACGACUGCUAAUACCGCAUAAUGUUAUUUGGGGGCAUCCCCGAAUAACCAAAGAUUUAUUGCUGAAAGAUGGGCCCGCGGCGCAUUAGCUAGUUGGUGAGGUAACGGCUCACCAAGGCGACGAUGCGUAGCCGACCUGAGAGGGUGAUCGGCCACACUGGGACUGAGACACGGCCCAG
rnacentral:rRNA from 1 species